CGUGAGUUGUACCACUCCGUGUGUGUGUUUUUUUUAACAACACAGAGGCCUCUUGAGAAAACAGCCUGUGUCCGUAGUCCCGUUUAAAGGGGUUCCCGACCCGAACCCCUUUAAACGCGGGCCCCUGUUCCUCAAUGCCUUAAAGGACAUUUUUAUUACACGUUGAAGUGUGUUUAGAAUGCAAUUAUUCUAAAUUGUACCAUUUUAAAGGCGAUAAAGGAAAGGCAGCUCUUGUUGUAAACAAUCUUCUGGCUGGUUGCCCGGUUGCUGAUUUCAGUGCCCAGUGUUUUAGACGGUGUCGUCCUUUCUGUUUGUUCUUAGGAUUGUUCUGGGUCUCCUGAAGACAUUCUGAUCCUUUAUCUUCCAGGGCUAUUGAGAGAACCGCAGUGACAACAAGGUGGAACAGUGUAGCCCAAACUAGUGAUAAGACUUGACAGUAGCAUAAUCUCUGUAUUGUCUAGACUAACAUGUCCCGAGAUUGGAUUAACAUUGGUUUGAUUGUAUAAUUCACAGAUGCGAUUACCUAUGUAAGUGUAACCUUACGUGUUCAUGGCGUUCUUCCAUGCAUCACCCCCUCCCUUCCCCAUACACGCACUCUCUGACGUUCUUACCAGGGGCCUUGCCCCUAGGGCCGAGGCUCCUGGGGCCCACAGAGGUUAAAACGGAACCAUCCAAGCGGGCAGAUAAGUUCCUGGGGAGCGUUAUCCACGCAACACCUGACCAGAGGGAGGGGUUUCCGGAACCCACAUGGGUUUGGGCUGACUUUUUGGGGUCUUAAAGCUACAGUACGCAAUUUAUUUUAGAAGAAAGUCUCGGAACAUCCUCACAGCAAUCAAUGACCCAAAUGCUCAGGAUAAAAUAAUAAUAAUAAUCCGGUGUUUGUUGCUGCGAAGGCCUGUGACAAGCCUGUCCUAUCAUUUAAUUUGGCCCGAUUUGAGUUGAUUCGCUGGUUUACCUGUCUGUCUACCUAACUCGAAGGCUACCUUGUGAACACUAGCUGUUCACUCUUUGCACAUGACCGCAGUCUUCCUCAAGGCUCGACAGACCUGUUGCUAGAGCUAGCGAGCUAGUCACAUGUUCUGGGGGAAAUCAACUUUGGAGGGAGGGCUGAUGGGAAAGGGAUUUCUUUUACCGUCUGCAUAUUUUCAAAAUCAAGCUUACUCUGGCAGAUUUUUCCCAAAUCGCCCGCCUUAGCUUUAAAGUGAAGUACGGCCAUUUUAGAACUUCCACAAAUCGUUCCUUUACCGUGAAAGUAUGCCGAGAGAGGAAGUUGUAACUCUUCCCAAUCCCAACCCAUUCCAGACCCGGCUAUUUUAAAAGCUCUCCUAGUUUGUGUUAUUUAGAGCUUUUUUAAUACACUGGAAAAUUGCGAGAGUCACAGUUUCCAGAGGCUAUUAGCCUCUGGAGCAGCUUCAGAGGGUGCAGGAUUACACCACACAGAGCGAGACACACAGACGGAAUGUGUGUGUUUAGAGAGCGCGCGCACAAGUCCUAGAUGUCUUAUAAUAAACGAUUAUCGUUUUUUUCUGUUUUGUCUUUCGUUUGCUGGGUUCCCAUGCUAAUAAAUUCUUGUUGCAGUGAAUGGAGGAGAGCGAGUGGCUGGUUUGCAGGUGAGGUCGUGUGUGGGUGCCAGUGUUGUUUAUUACGGUCUGGUCUGGUGAACCAUGUAGAGGAGAGGUCAGGCUCCGCCCUGCUAUUAGUGGUGUGGUGUGGUGUGCGUCUUUGACCUGCUGGGUCACAGUGAAUGACCCAGGAACCAGACUGAUGUCAGAUGUGGUUUUCCCACUGAAUAACUGCUCUCGAGGUUUGAGCUGAGGGCUGAAACGAAUGUCAUCAUGGGAUGUCUUAUCAUGGUCUUAUCAUGGAAGCCAAGGGCCCCAUCAUGGAUUCGACCAUUGGAGGGCGUUAGUGUUGAUACACGUUAAAGGCACCCAGUGCAACUUUAUAGUCUUUUAAAAUUCUAUGCUGUUCGUGUGACUUAAACAAGGCCGAUUUUUACGAGCUCCUUGUCCGGUCAGAUACAGACAUAAAACCAACCCUAACUAUAUUCCAAGGGUGAAUCCACCAAAAAAUAAAUUGUCAGUUAAAGUUGGCAUGUUGAAGGUAGACUUCUGUCAUAUAUUCACUAAUUAGAUGGAUUUAAUACUUAUCUUACUCACUCAAACUCCCCCCUCCCCCCACCCCCCCCCCCUUUUCACAUGACUAAGAAACGACUCUGAGGAAAAAGAGGGCCAUUUUGUUUGAAAGGAGAACCACAGCUAUUGAGCAGCGAGGAAAGCCCCUGCCUACAGGCUAAUGUGGGCUGUGCCUGCGCUGGCGUUUGCACUCAGACAGGGGAGAGAUGUUGCCCGCUUUGUGGUGAGCCAAACCUAGAAUUUGACCGACUGUACGCAGCCAGCCAGUCUAAAACCGUCAAAUUAAAAGUUUAAAUGUUCACACCGGGUGUGUGUGUGUGUGUGUGUGUGUGUGUGUGUGUGUGUGUGUGUGUGUGUGUGUGUGUGUGUGUGUGUGUGUGUGUGUGUGUGUGUGUGUGUGUGUGUGUGUGUGUGUGUGUGUGUGUGUGUUGUAUUUAUUUAUUUUUGUGUACACAAGUGUGUUUUUCGACAAAUCUAAACCAAGGGGUAUUGUUUGGGGUCCCGGGCUUGCCUAGCUAAGCUGGGGCUUAAUAGGCUCCCUUCAUGUAGAUUUCCCAGAGCUAACGAUGCUAAUCUAGCUAGUCAGACCUUUUAGCGGCCGGUAGAUAGAGGUGUGGGACCCAGGGGGGGGGUGGGGGGGACAAUGGGCUGUGUGUGCAGCCGGGGUAAAUUAUGGCUGUUUGUUUUGCUGCUCACAGGGGUCCCUGGUAUCACUGACACCAGCCCAUAACAACAGGUCAAAGGUCACAUCCCCCUCCACAGCCAAAGUGGGUCCGGCGAGGGUGGGCCUGAGGUCGCAGUGCAAGUACCCGCCAGUGCCCUUUGGCAAGGCACAGGGCUGGGGGGGAGGAGUUCACCAAGUGGCUCGCUGAUGGGGGCUGAACGCUGUGACUUAAACACUCCAUUAUCGUCGAUGUGGGUUGGAUGACGUGAGAUCUGGAGUCUAUAGGGUGGCUGAAGGUCAACAAGGUGAGUUGUAAAGUUUCUGCUUAUCGGGGGCUCGUCCAAUCAGAUUCCCAGAAGCUCUAGCCCCGCCUCCUAAACACCUGGAAUGUAAAAGGGUGGUGUGUGUGUGUGUGUGUGUGUGUGUGUGUGUGUGUGUGUGUGUGUGUGUGUGUGUGUGUGUGUGUGUGUGUGUGUGUGUGUGUGUGUGUGUGUGUGUGUGUGUGUGUGUGUGUGUGUGUGUGUGUGUGUGUGUGUGUGUGUGCACGUCCAUCCUCUAGAAAUCAUUGUGGAGUUGUGUUUUUCUCUUGAAUGCUGUGUUCUGUCCCUGAGUAGUAUAGCGUAACGUCUGUCCGCUUAUGUGUUGGGAGCCAAGUUGUUAAUGACACAACCACCCUUGGUGAAUCCUUAGGAUACUGUAGUGGGUAUGCCACCCCUCAUAAGGGGUGGAGGGUGGAGGCCCCCUCAACAGAACUCCCCUGUGUUUGGUCUGUCCCAGGGGGGGAGUGGAUGGGAGUGUGCUGGUGUAGGGGUAGGUGGAGGUAUACGGCCCCCCCUGUGUUUGGUCUGUCCCGACGCUGUGGUGGGAACUCGGCGGUGGUUUAGUCUCCGCGGUCGAGCUCCGAUCCGUCUGUCUGCGCCUCGGUCUGGGGGAUGAAAAGGAAAAGCUGUUAUUGUUUCACACAGGCCUACAGCACACUCCUACUAUAAACCGCCUCACACGUUCCCACACCGCCGCCGCCACACCGCCCUAAUGGACACCAUGUGACUGAUGUGCUGGAAGCCUUAAUCACCCACGGCGUGUUUCAGCCGUGGUUAAACGGUCUACACACACGCGCACGCGCACACACACCCCCCCCAACACAUCCAGUGUCUUCUUUUAGUCUUGACUUCAUCAAGGUCCUUGCAGCUCGUAACCGUAGUUACAGAGACGCGAUUGGUUUACAGGCUAACUAAUGCCGCUUUUCCACCGCACAUGUAGCUCGACUCGACACGACUCGACACGACACGACUCGACACGGUAGCAGCACGGGUGCUUUUCCACCGCAAAUAGUACCUCCUGGACGUGGGCGGGGUCGGCUGCGCGAAAGGGCCGUGACGUAUUUGUGUACGCGACGCAAACAACACAUACGCAACCCACACAUGGACAGAACCCACAUAACAACAAUGGAGGACAUCGAUCGCAUUACUAUUAUUAGCUGGCAUGUUGAAGAAGUUGGAGAAGUGGAACAUGUUGGCUGCGGCGCUGCUAUGGAUGUUACCAGCAUGGUUGCCAUGUCGCUCUCGUGACUUCGUCACACUCUCUGGCCGAUCAGUCGCCGGCCGUCUGCCGACGUCACCUUUUAGCAUCGGCUCAGCUCGCUUGGAACCUAGAGCGAGUAGGUACUAGAAAAAGCAGCCACUUCAGGUACCAGAUACCAUGGUACCGCGGUGGAAACGCCAAAAAUGCGAGCUGAGUCGAGUCGUGUCGAGCUGGUACCAUGCAGUGGAAAAGCGGCAUAAGAAGUAUUUGACUACAACUCUCUGACGGUUGUCAAAGUCUCCCCCUCUCUCACUCUCUCCCCCCAUACACACACACACACACACACACACACACACACACACACACACACACACACACACACACACACACACACACACACACACACACACACACACACACACACACACACACACACACACACACACACACACACACACA